rnacentral:rRNA from 1 species
GAAGCUGACUACUGGAAGGAUGCGGUCCGUAGCGAGAUGGAUUCCAUCAUGGCUAACGGGACAUGGGAGAUCACUGACCGUCCCUAUGGUUGCAAACCACUGGGAUGUAAGUGGGUGUUCAAAAAGAAGCUUAGGCCCGAUGGUACGAUUGAAAAGUACAAGGCUAGGCUUGUGGCCAAGGGCUAUGACCAGCAAGAAGAGGAAGAUUUCUUUGAUACUUAUUCACCUGUGGCUAGACUGACCACCAUUCGAGUAUUACUCUCGUUGGCGGCCUCACAUGGUCUUCUCGUCCAUCAGAUGGAUGUUAAGACGACUUUUCUAAAUGGAGAGCUAAAGGAGGAAAUCUACAUGCAACAGCCUGAUGGCUUUGUGAUAGAUGGUCAGGAAAGAAAGGUGUGUAGGUUGAUAAAAUCUUUAUAUGGCCUGAAACAAGCACCUAAGCAAUGGCAUGAUAAGUUUAAUACAACUCUGACAUCUGUUGGUUUCGUUGUUAAUGAGGCUGACAAAUGUGUAUACUAUCGCCAUGGUGGGGGCGAAGGAGUUAUACUGUGCUUGUAUGUUGAUGACAUACUGAUAUUCGGAACAAACCUC